GGCUAUUUCAGGGAUCUGGCCGAGGUAGCUCUGAAUGAUCUCGCCAAUUCUGGAAGAGCUUCUGAUACCAAAGAUCAUCCGAGGUUGGGAUCCAUGGACUGAUGAUCCCCCCAUUGAAGAACCCCGUGACCGCACCUGCAAUGUUAGAGGACUCCAAAUCCCAAAGGUCCAGCCAAAGUUUCCAGUGCUGAUAUGUCAGUAUGUAUUCAGCUGCUUUCUGAAGACAUAACACACCAGAUGACCCUAAAGGCUAAUGAUUUUUCCAGGGGAAGUCAUUCCGCCACUUGGUCAAAGAGAAUGGAAAGGGCCAGAGCAACGACCCCAACUCCUCCAUGGGUCACCCUGCCGCCGCCGCCGCCGCCGCCGCCGCCGCUCCCUCCCAGGGUGGAGGUGAGGUUGUAGCGGAAGGCCGUGCGCU